GAUGAAGAACGUAGCGAAAUGCGAUAAGUAAUGUGAAUUGCAGAAUUCAGUGAAUCAUCGAAUCUUUGAACGCACCUUGCACCCUUUGGUAUUCCGAAGGGUAUGCUCGUUUGAGUGUCAUUGUACUCUCACACUUCUAAUUCCUUUCGGGAUUGGGAGCGGUGGACUUGGGUGUUGCUGCUUUAGUUGUGGCUCACCUCAAAUAAGUUAGUGCAACUCUUGGUUGGACAUAGUACGGCGUGAUAAGUGUCUUCGCCGGCGCCUCUGUAAGGAGGGUGGCCGAUCGGGAGCUCUGUGCUUCAAACCGUCUUCGGACAAUCUUUGACAACUUGACCUCAAAUCGAGCAGGACUACCCGCUGAACUUAAGCAUAUCAAUAAGCGGAGGA
rnacentral:misc_RNA from 1 species